rnacentral:rRNA from 1 species
GACGAACGCUGGCGGCGUGCUUAACACAUGCCAGUCGAACGGAAAGGCCCUGCUUUUGUGGGGUGCUCGAGUGGCGAACGGGUGAGUAACACGGGAGUAACCUGCCCUUGACUGUGGGAUAACUUCAGGAAACUGGGGCUAAUACCGGAUAGGAGCUCCUGCUGCAUGGUGGGGGUUGGAAAGUUUCGGCGGUUGGGGAUGGACUCGCGGCUUAUCAGCUUGUUGGUGGGGUAGUGGCUUACCAAGGCUUUGACGGGUAGCCGGCCUGAGAGGGUGACCGGCCACAUUGGGACUGAGAUACGGCCCAGACUCCUACGGGAGGCAGCAGUGGGGAAUAUUGCACAAUGGGCGGAAGCCUGAUGCAGCAACGCCGCGUGGGGGAUGACGGCCUUCGGGUUGUAAACCGCUUUCGCCUGUGACGAAGCGUGAGUGACGGUAAUGUGUAAAGGAGGCACGGGUAACUACGUG